rnacentral:misc_RNA from 1 species
GAUGAAGAACGUAGCGAAAUGCGAUAAGUAAUGUGAAUUGCAGAAUUCAGUGAAUCAUCGAAUCUUUGAACGCACCUUGCGCUCCUUGGUAUUCCGAGGAGCAUGCCUGUUUGAGUGUCAUUAAUAUAUCAACCUUCUCUUUUUUGAGUUGUUUGGAUGUGGGGGUUUGCUGGCCUCUUAAAUGAUUCAGCUCCCCUGAAAUGCAUUAGCAGAACAACCUGUUCAUUAGCGUGAUAAUUAUCUAUGCUAUUGAAUGUGAGGGCAGUUCAGCUUUCUAACCGUCCUUGGACAAUUCAUCAUUAAUGUGACCUCAAAUCAGGUAGGACUACCCGCUGAACUUAAGCAUAUAAUAAGCGGAGGA